CCUACGGGUGGCUGCAGUGGGGAAUAUUGGACAAUGGGCGCAAGCCUGAUCCAGCAAUGCCGCGUGUGUGAAGAAGGCCUUCGGGUUGUAAAGCACUUUUAUCAGGAGCGAAAUGCCAUGGGCCAAUACCCCGUGGAGCUGACGGUACCUGAGGAAUAAGCACCGGCUAACUUCGUGCCAGCAGCCGCGGUAAUACGAAGGGUGCAUGCGUUAAUCGGAAUUACUGGAGGCGAAUCGUUAAGAGUCGUGUGAAAUCCCCGGGCUCAACCUGGGAAUGGCAAUGGAUACUGGCGGGCUAGAGUGUGUCAGAGGAUGGUGGAAUUCCCGGUGUAGCGGUGAAAUGCGUAGAGAUCGGGAGGAACAUCAGUGGCGAAGGCGGCCAUCUGGGACAACACUGACGCUGAAGCACGAAAGCGUGGGGAGCAAACAGGAUUAGAUACCCGUGUAGUC
rnacentral:rRNA from 1 species